UUAUUUUCGUGUGUGUCCGAUUUUAAUUGAUUAGGACCUCGAAAAUAGUGAAUAAAUUCACGUGAUGAAUUUAUAAGGGUAAAAAUGUGAUUUGCUAUGUGUUUGCCUUAAAUGUGAUUUUUGGCAAUUUUACGUGUUAAAAGUGAAUUUUGUGAUUUUUCACUAAAAACCGUAAAAAUAAUUAUUUUAAAUAUUUUUAAAGGCCCAAAAAUAUUUUAAAAACAGCCCAUAUGAUAUGAUUUAAUGUUUUUGAAUAUUUGGUAAAGUUGAAAUUAUUUUGCCCCUAGAGUUCGAAUUAUUUACAAGAAUGCCAUAAUGGCAAACUUGUAAAUAAUUGAAACUUCAAAUAAUAUCUAGAUAUUUUCCUAAGCUAAACUUGGUGCCCAAGUCUCUAUUUCAUCUUCUUCAUUUGUGUGGGUGCCGAAUUCUUCACAAAACAAAACACAAAACUUUCAACUUUGAUUUUCUCUCAAAAAUUUCUUCACGAAAGUUGUCGGGGAUAUUGCGUAGAUCGUGUGUGUGUAUUUGCAUGUUCGUUUGAGAUCCAGCGAGUUUUGUCGCGGAAACCGGCGAGCAAAGGUUUUGAUAUUCGACGGGUGGUAUUUUUAAUAUUUGGAAUAAGCGAGUACUGUGAGUGUGUUUACAACUUAUACUGCUAAAUAUUAGUAUUAAAAAUAUUGCGAACUGCUUUACAUGAUUUGCAAAUGCUUUAUUUUAUUUUGAAUUUAAAUCGCAUGAACUAUAUACAUAGUUUUGAAACCGAUUUAGAUUCAUUGAAACAUGCUUACUAUUGGGCGGCAAUAGUGCUGUGUGAUCACCGGUAUUGCAUUUAGAAUGGGUUGCAUGUGAAUGUGCUGUGUGAAUCCUGGCGACGGCCUGGAAAGUCAGGCGACGGCCUAGACUCUGUGUGAACAGAUCUUCAGAGGCAACGGAAUAUAGACGACCAAAGGCAGUAAAGAGAAACUGCCGAGAUCUGAGAGGUUGAACCUUUUAUAAAAAAAAGUGAAAUUGGCGACAGUAUUUAUGUACUGCCGAAAUCCGUUGUAUUGUAAGAAGAGUCUGGGACUUUCAAAUACGUAAAAUAAGAAUAAUCGGAUUUGACUGGCUAAAAGUACAAAAAGAGAAAAUAAAUACGGCCAAAGAAAAAUAAAAGGUUAACCCGAAUAUGAUGAAAUGAUGUGGAAUAUUUAUGUUUCCUGUUUUGAAAGCAUAUAGGAACAUGAAUCAUGGUUUAGGGUUUCAUAUGAAUCGGUAAUCUGGAAUGCAUUGCUUUCAUAUUAAUGUUUAUUAGUACAUGUUGUACGCAUUCACCAGUUUUUAUAACUGACCCCGUUGAAUUUAAUAUUUUUACAGGCGAGUAGUUUGAGGUGCGGAUUUCCAAUUUCUUGUUCCGGAAAUCCCUGGAUUGAAUAAGUGAGAAUGACUUUCCUUUAUGUGUCUAGAGUUGCAGUAGCUAGAAUAAUGAACGGUGAUACCUUAGUGGUCGUUGGACUUAUUUAUGCUUUAUUUUAUUAUAACGCUAAACUCUGAUAAUAUGUAAUAUGUGAAUGCUGUGCGAAAGUCCGAGCGACUGCACUUGAAUAAAAUGCGGCGAACGCAUCUGCAUAGUGAAAUGCAGUUAAGUCCA